rnacentral:lncRNA from 1 species
GAUUUCCAGUUUUAUUUUAAAGUUGAAGAGGUGCUAAUCUAUCUGGUGAGGUUGUGGGAAAAAUUAAUGAAACACAUGAAAGUCCCUUAAACUUGCUAGGACUUACUAAAUGCCAGUUCUGUCUCCUUCCUAACACCUUCCCCCAACCCCCAAUCUCUUCACGCUCACUCUUGUACAUUUCCACCCUGCUGGAAAACAAAGAUGAGAACAAAAUGUGCAUUGCUGAGACUUACUGUUAGACUGUUUUUUAAGGUGUCCUUGAUUUUGGUUAGCCUGGUCUUUUCUCUGUGAUCUCUCUCGUGAGUUCAUAUAUUAAGUAAAAGGAAAUGAGUCUUGAGAACAUUGAGAAUGAAAAUGUUUGAGUAGGCCAGGGCAUGGUGGCUCACACCUACAAUCCCAGUACCUUGGGAGACCGAGGCAGGAGGGUCACUUGUGCCUAGGAGUUCAAGAACAGCCUGGGCAACAUAGUGAGAACUCGUCUCUACAAAAAAAUAUACUAAUAAAAUAAAUUUUAAAAUAAGGCAGGAGAAUCAUUUGAACCUGGGAAGUCAAGGCAUGUAAUGAGCCCUGAUGGCA